GUCAGGAUGGCCGAGUGGUCUAAGGGGCGCCAGAAUAAAGAGUAAAUCUUGUCCUGUAGUGGGAAUUGAAUGUUCUGGUCAACUGAUGUGGGCAUGGGUUCAAAUCCCACUUCUAACA